CGUUCUUUAAAUGGGGUACUUUAUGACACUUUUUCACUCAUAAAAGUGACGGGCACAUAUGCCCCUUUUGCUUCCCCCGUUCCGCGACCCCUGGUCAUAACACGUAUUGACACAAAACGUUCACAUCAAAUCACAUGAAAACCAACAAAGCCUUUUUAUUUUUAAUACUAGCUACUUGGUCUUAUUUCAGACGGCGUGCUUCAUAAAAGAACAGCGAAAGUCUUCUUCAAAAUUUCGGCAAAUCAAAU